rnacentral:rRNA from 1 species
AACGAACGCUGGCGGCAGGCCUAACACAUGCAAGUCGAACGCCCUCUUCGGAGGGAGUGGCAGACGGGUGAGUAACACGUGGGAACGUACCCUUUGGUUCGGAACAACUCCGGGAAACUG